CUCUUUAACCUCCUCCACAGCAUAGUAUGCUUUGGUGGGUAUUCCUAACUCCUUGGGUUGAACAUCAAUAAUCACCAGGACAGGGUUAGGAACAUAGCUACAAUUGAGAAGCACAAGAACUAAGUUAGCUACUAUGAAGGAUUACUUGCACCAAAACAACAUAUCUAGUCAAGAAUAUAACUUCAUGAACAAUACAGGAUAUAAAGCUUCGGUACAUCACAUACUUAUUGAAUAGUGCGUGUAUAUCCAAGUCGUUCUCCCUGAGUUUUGGACCGGUGCUGUACCAGCCAACAACAUGCUCCUUGGCGUUGAUCCUCUUGAACAUGGAAAACAUCGAUUCGUGGUAAUUAUGAUCGAGGAACCAGAUCCUCGGAUCCUUGUCAUCCUCUUCAAACGGCACUGCAAAACCAAUUGGUGACAUCGACGGAACCGCGGGAGGAGGUGCCGAGGAGCACGCCGACGACGCGCUUGCGGGUGUCGCGGGCGACGCGGUUGUAGUGGUCGACGAUGCUGAGCAGCACCAGCGGGUGCACCACCACCUUCUCCAGCGUCCGCCCCGAGAGCUGCGCCGCCUUCACCACGUCCAUCUCCGCCG
rnacentral:sRNA from 1 species